GGCGCUGUAGCUCAGCCAGGUCAGAGCACCCGGUUGUCAACCGGAAGGUCGUGGGUUCGAGUCCCAUCAGCGCCGCCA
rnacentral:tRNA from 1 species